CAGGUCGUGUUACGACAGUUUUCAGAGCUAUUCCUUUUUAGUAGCUGUUGUGUUGUGUUAUGCAACGUUGGGUGUUCAUCGCUUCAUUUUCAUCGAAAAAUGAGGGAAAGGGUCGGGACAUUCUUUGUUCAGUGUAUGCUUCAAGCACCUUUUGUUUACUGAAUGUCAUUUAUUUUCAAUAAAUGGUAUGUGAUACCACU
rnacentral:misc_RNA from 1 species